UUCCUGUUGCCAUUUAUUUUGUAUAUUCAUGCCUAUUCCUUAUUUUGGAGCUAAUUUGUUCAAUCCCCAUUCGAUAAAUGGUUGUCAUGGCUUUUCGUGGAAUGCAUGUGUCAUAUCAUUAUUCAGGAUUGUCCCAACUAUUUGGCAUUGGCUAUUGAAUGCGUCUGUUUCUUCGUGCUUGUGGUGGUGAGCAUCUUCUUUGUUGCAUCUCAUAUAUGACGAGUGAACUGUGACAUUCUGUUUGAAGCUCAACUUUAGGGAACUAUUCAGGGCCACCUACAAAUAUUCAACAUUGAGACGAAGGCAAAAAUGAAAUCACAUCAGAUUCCUGAGCAGGUUGUGUUUUGGAAGUGGAUUACGCCAAAGAUGUUAGGGCUGGUCACACAAACAUCAGUGUAUCAUUGGUCAAUAGAAGGUAAUAAUGCAUUUUUCUUUUCGUACAAGGGUUCUUUUGAACUACAUUCAGUUUCUCACUUUUCUUUUUUGAUAGAUCAAUUUAUAUUUCAGUUAGGAACUUCCAUUACAUUGUUGAAUUGCUGGCUUUAAAUUUUACAAAACUUAUUUGUAGGUGAUUCAGAGUGUAUAAAGAUUUGUUUCAGAUAUUUUGAUAUGUAACCAUGUGCUAAUAUUUGUUAUAUGUUCUGUACUUUAAUUCACAGAAACUGUUCAAUUAAGGUUUGAUUUAUUUCACUA